rnacentral:rRNA from 1 species
CCCUUAGAUGUUCUGGGCCGCACGCGUGCUACACUGAUGCAUUCAACGAGUCUAAAACCUGGUCUGAUAGGGCUGGGUAAUCUUUUGAAAGUGCAUCGUGAUUGGGAUAGAUGAUUGCAAUUCUUCAUCUUCAACGAGGAAUGCCUAGUAAACGCAAGUCAUCAGCUUGCAUUGAUUACGUCCCUGCCCUUUGUACACACCGCCCGUCGCUCCUGCCGAUUGAAUGAUCCGAUGAAUACCAUGGAUUGAGAGUACGAAUAGGUUCGCUUAUUUCUGCUGCUCGAGAAGUGGAGUAAAUCUUAUCAUUUAGAGGAAGGAGAAGUCGUAACA